rnacentral:rRNA from 1 species
UACGUAGGGUGCAAGCGUUAAUCGGAAUUACUGGGCGUAAAGCGUGCGCAGGCGGUUUUGUAAGUCUGUCGUGAAAUCCCCGGGCUCAACCUGGGAAUUGCGAUGGAGACUGCAAGGCUAGAAUCUGGCAGAGGGGGGUAGAAUUCCACGUGUAGCGGUGAAAUGCGUAGAGAUGUGGAGGAACACCGAUGGCGAAGGCAGCCCCCUGGGUCAAGAUUGACGCUCAUGCACGAAAGCGUGGGGAGCAAACAGG